UGGUGCUCCCAUCCCUGGGGAGAAGAUAUGAGCAAGGAAAUAUACUGUGAAAAUAAAAUAUGAAAAGGACUGAGGAACAUUCAUAAGACAUAACCGAUGUGGGCAGCCUGUGAGACUGCCCAGCUCACCAUUUCUCCCAGUCCUGGCUGGUGCUGAGUGAUGUGAUCUUCUGUAAGGAAACAUUAUCUUAGAAUUCAGAGCCCUAGGGAACUUGAAGAUCCUAGGCCACAUCAGCUCUCGAAGACAGGUGACUUUUCUUUCCCAAUGAUGCUAAGCUUUGCCACGUGACCUCUGGUGCUCAGCAAGAUACUGGCAGAAACAAUGGUUUACAGCCAAGUCUUCGAAGGUGUCAUGUAUUCCUACUUGUCCAUGUGCAAUCUGGUGGUCACCAUGAGAGGAACAUGCUCAGGGAACAACUGGCCCAAGAAGAAUGAAGUAAUGUGAAGUAGACCUGACCCAGCAAGAAGCCUCCAGCCAAGCCCCGCUAACCUACAGUCUGAAUCAAAGUUGUGAGCAAGAAAAAUAACGUCUAAUUGUUAUAAUCCACUAAGUUUUAAGGGGACUAAUUAUGCAGCAUUGUUGUGACAAUAUUUUACUAUUAAUACUCUUCGAUGUUUUAUACUUAUAUGACACUAUGCAGUGAUGUCAAAGAGAGAGGAGUAAACAAGUUCUUGUAUACUGUAAAUUAAAUUAUUCUUAAGAACAGUUUAUGCAACAAAAAUCAUGAAGAUGUUAAGAUGCUUUCUUCCUGAAAUUCCUCUUCUAAAUAUUUUCUAAAGAUAAUAUGAUAAAGACAAAUAUAUGAUUACAAUAAUAGAUACUGAAACUUUUCGUCAUAAACAAACACAAAUUUUUAACCAAAUUGGCUGUAAAAAUUGUUGUGUAUUCAUUCAAUGGAAUACCACACAGCCAUUGAGAGGAAGUUAUAGAAGCAUAUUUCCAAAUGGGGAAAUACAAUUAGAUAUGUUUAAUUUUAAAAUCAUGGUAUAACAUUGCAUGUUUAGCAUAAAAAUGAUAAAGAGAAGGAAGGAGGAUUCAAAAAUUGUUAUUGCAAAUAUUAAAAGGAGUCAUCCUCGUUUUCCAAAAUAUUUGUAUUUGAAAAAAUACAUUCAGCUUAAAAUUUUACAAUUUGUUGGCAAUUACAACGUAAAAGUAAGUAACUGUAAUAUGUUUUUGGUGGAUAAUUUAGAUAAUUAAUGUUUCAUUUAUGUAAAAAGAAGUUGAUUCUUGUUAAUAUUCUUACACUUAAACCAUUUUGUGGUGAUGACUGAAAUAGAUUUCAAUGUCCCCAAAUACUUGACUAUCACUCAUUAAAGAGUAUAAUUUUAAAAGCCUUUAAAUCUAAAUUUUAUGUUUAUUCAU